rnacentral:rRNA from 1 species
GAAAGUAAUAAAGAGCGUAUGGGGGAUGCCUAGGCUCUUGGAGGCGAAGAAGGACGUGGUAAGCUGCGAAAAGUCGCGGGGAUUUGCAAACGAGAAUUGAUCCGCGAAUAUCCGAAUGGGACAACCCGGCAGGCAGAAGGCCUGUCACCCAGCAAUGGGGGCUAACCCUCUGAACUGAAACAUCUAAGUAGGAGGAGGAGAAGAAAGAAACAUCGAUUUCCAAAGUAGCGGCGAGCGAAAUGGAAGGAGCCCAAACCGGUAUUGUUACGGCAAUGCCGGGGUUAUAGGACUGCGAGAUUCGAAGGACAAAGAACUGGAAAGAUUUGGAAAAGUCGACCAUAGAGAGUGAAAGUCUCGUACAGGUAAUUGAGUUCAAAGAUAGCAGUAUCCUGAGUAUGGCGGGACACGAGGAAUCCAGUCAGAAUUCGCCGGGACCACCCGGUAAGGCUAAAUACUCCCAAGAGACCGAUAGUGAACCAGUACUGUGAAGGAAAGGUGAAAAGAACCCCGAACAGGGGAGUGAAAAAGAACCUGAAACCAUACGCUUACAACCUGUCGGAGCGGCUUCGUGCCGUGACGGCGUGCCUAUUGAAUAAUGAGCCUACGAGUUACUAAUCACUGGCGAGGUUAAGUGCUAGGAAGCACGGAGCCGAAGCGAAAGCGAGUCUGAACAGGGCGUUUAGUCAGUGGUUGUAGACGCGAAACCUUGCGAUCUACCCUUGAGCAGGAUGAAGGUUGGGUAAAGCCAACUGGAGGUCCGAACGAAUAAGCGUUGAAAAGCUUCUCGAUGACUUGAGGGUAGGAGUGAAAGGCCAAUCAAGCUGGGAAAUAGCUCGUACUCCCCGAAAUGCCUUUAGGGGCAGCGUUGUAAUAAAGAGUCUACUGGAGGUAGAGCUACUGAUUGGAUGCGGGGGCUUCACCGCCUACCAAAUCCCGACAAACUCCGAAUGCCAGUAGUAUGAUUUACAGCAGUGAGCCACCGGGUGCUAAUGUCCGGUGACAAAAGAGGAACAACUCAGACCAGCAACUAAGGUCCCCAAGCGUAUGCUAAGUUGAACUAACGAUGUUUUGUUGCAUAGACAGCUAGGAUGUUAGCUUGGAAGCAGCUAUUCAUUCAAAGAGUGCGUAACAGCUCACUAGUCGAGCGACAAAGCGUGGAUAAUAAACGGGCAUCAAGCAUACCACCGAAGUUCUGGGCGCGAAAGCGCGGUAGGGGAGCAUUCCAUUCAGCGUUGAAGCAGCGUCGUGAGAUGUUGUGGAGCGUAUGGAAAAGCAAAUGUAGGCAUGAGUAACGAUAAUGCGGGAGAGUAACCCGCACACCGCAAGACCAAGGUUUCCUGAUCAACGCUAAUCGGAUCAGGGUUAGUCGGGUCCUAAGGGUAAGCCGAACGGCGAUCUCGAUGGAUAAUCGGUUAAUAUUCCGAUACUGACAUAUACCUCGAUGGAGAGACGAAAUCGCGUAAGUACCGCCUCCUGACGGAAUAGGAGGUUAAAGGGCGUAUGUAUAGGGGCAGAUUAAGAGUCAGUCCUUGCUGAAACCCGACAGUACAGAGAGCCUACGGGCAAUUUGAUAGUGUACCCAAGCAUGUUUCCGAGAAAAUCUUCUAAGUUAUAGUAUAUGUCACCCGUACCGUAAACCGACACAGGUGGUCGAGGAGAGUAUCCUAAGGUGCUCGAGUGAAUCACGGUUAAGGAACUAGGCAAAUUAACCCCGUAACUUCGGGAAAAGGGGUCCCUACGCGAGUAGGGCGCAGCGAAGAGGUCCAGGCGACUGUUUAUCAAAAACACAGGGCUCUGCAAAUUCGAAAGAAGAAGUAUAGGGCCUGACACCUGCCCGGUGCUGGAAGGUUAAGAGGGGAUGUCAUCGCAAGAGAAGCAUUGAAUCGAAGCCCCAGUAAACGGCGGCCGUAACUAUAACGGUCCUAAGGUAGCGAAAUUCCUUGUCGGGUAAGUUCCGACCUG